GGGGGUGUAGCUCAGCUGGUUAGAGCGCCUGCCUGUCACGCAGGAGGUCGCGGGUUCGAGCCCCGUCACUCCCG
rnacentral:tRNA from 1 species